UACAGAGGGGGCAAGCGUUAUUCGGAAUUAUUGGGCGUAAAGGGCGCGUAGGCGGCCUGGCAAGUGGAAGGUGAAAUCCCUCGGCUUAACCGAGGAACUGCCCUCCAAACUGCUUGGCUUGAGUCCGGGAGAGGUGAGUGGAAUUCCCAGUGUAGCGGUGAAAUGCGUAGAUAUCACUUGGAACGCCAAUGGUGAAGACAGCUCGCUGGGGGUGUCCUGACGCUGAGGCGCGGAAAGCCAGGGGAGCGAACGGG
rnacentral:rRNA from 1 species